UACGUAGGGUGCAAGCGUUGUCCGAAAUUAUUGGGCGUAAAGGGCUCGUAGGCGGUUUGUCGCGUCGGGAGUGAAAAUCCAGGGCUUAACUCUGGACUGGCUUCCGAUACGGGCAGACUAGAGGUAUGCAGGGGAGAACGGAAUUCCUGGUGCAGCGGUGAAAUGCGCAGAUAUCAGGAGGAACACCGGUGGCGAAGGCGGUUCUCUGGGCAUUACCUGACGCUGAGGAGCGAAAGUGUGGGGAGCGAACAGG
rnacentral:rRNA from 1 species